rnacentral:ribozyme from 1 species
AAACCUCUGUUCAAAGUGACGUGGGAUAAGAUCGCCGUUCGUUCCAUGCCUUCGAUGAAGGGAGAUCUGACUGGGACCCUCCAGCGCGGAACGGUUGUA